GAUGAAGAACGUAGCGAAAUGCGAUAAGUAAUGUGAAUUGCAGAAUUCAGUGAACCAUCGAAUCUUUGAACGCACAUUGCGCCCGCCAGUAUUCUGGCGGGCAUGCCUGUUCGAGCGUCAUUUCAACCCUCAAGCACAGCUUGGUGUUGGGACUCGCGUUAAUUCGCGUUCCCCAAAUUGAUUGGCGGUCACGUCGAGCUUCCAUAGCGUAGUAGUAAAACCCUCGUUACUGGUAAUCGUCGCGGCCACGCCGUUAAACCCCAACUUCUGAAUGUUGACCUCGGAUCAGGUAGGAAUACCCGCUGAACUUAAGCAUAUCAAUAAGCGGAGGA
rnacentral:misc_RNA from 1 species